rnacentral:rRNA from 1 species
UACGUAGGGUGCGAGCGUUAAUCGGAAUUACUGGGCGUAAAGCGUGCGCAGGCGGCUUACUAAGACAGGUGUGAAAGCCCCGGGCUUAACCUGGGAAUGGCGUUUGGGACUGGGUCGCUAGAGUGUGGCAGAGGGAGGUGGAAUUCCACGUGUAGCAGUGAAAUGCGUAGAGAUGUGGAGGAACACCGAUGGCGAAGGCAGCCUCCUGGGCCAGCACUGACGCUCAUGCACGAAAGCGUGGGGAGCAAACAGG